rnacentral:rRNA from 1 species
AGGGAGCCUGAGAAACGGCUACCACAUCCAAGGACGGCAGCAGGCGCGCAAAUUACCCAAUCCAGACACUGGGAGGUGGUGACGAGAAAUACCAGGUCGGUCCCAAAAGGAUUCGACACUGGAAUGAGUUUAAUUUAAAAAUUUAAACGAGAAACAACUGGAGGGCAAGUCUGGUGCCAGCAGCCGCGGUAAUUCCAGCUCCAGUAGUGUAUCCAAACGUUGCUGCGGUUAAAACGCUCGUAGUUGGACAAGAGAGUAACUUGGUGCGGGCGGGGAGUGUGAAGCUCUAUGUGUUUGCCUGUUGUGGUUGGUGUUGCCUGUAUUGUGUAAAAGCUUUACGAGUGCACUGGUCCUUCAGGAUGUAGCAUAGUAGUGCACUUCUCGACCAUGCUGCCAGGUUGCUUGUAAUGUUUCGUGAGAAUGGUGCAUGGUCUUUAUUGUAUUGUGUACUGUGUCUUACGUAGUGUGCCUUGAAUAAAUCAGAGUGCUCAAAGCAAGCUAUCGCUUGAAUGUUAAUAGCAUGGAACGAAUGUGUUGUGAGAGUGUGCUAGUGACUGGGCCUUGUGCACGGUCCUAGUGCAUAGCACCAACCGCGAAGCGGAACAUUGGUUGCCGACUUCGGGUGAGGAUUAAGAGGGGCAUUUGGGGGCAUUAGUAUUUGGCCGCGAGAGGUGAAAUUCUUGGACCGGCCAAGGACUAACAAGUGCGAAAGCAUUUGCCAAGUAUGUUCCCUUUAAUCAAGAACGAAAGUGAGAGGUUCGAAGACGAUCAGAUACCGUCCUAGUUCUCACCGUAAACGAUGCCAACCCGGGAUCAGUGCGGAUGAUAUGAUUUGGAUCCAGGUUGGUCCCCCUGGGAAACCUUGAGUGUUUAGGUUCCGGGGGGAGUAUGGUUGCAAGGCUGAAACUUAAAGGAAUUGACGGAAGGGCACCACCAGGGGUGGAGCCUGCGGCUCAAUUUGACUCAACACGGGAAAACUCACCUGGUCCGGACAUCGAUAGGAUUGACAGACUAAUAGAUCUUUCAUGAUACGGUGGGUGGUGGUGCAUGGCCGUUCUUAGUUCGUGGAGCGAUCUGUCAGGUUGAUUCCGGUAACGGACGAGACUACGAUCCCCAUUUGGGGAGGUGCAGGACAGGUGACAACAGGGGCCCCGUUCGGAAACGGGCGGACGGCCACUGGGACGCCUGUUCCUGGGCUGCGCGCACAGCAAUGUGCGUCCCCAUGGAGAGACAGCCGGAUUGUAAGGCGGAGGAAGCGUGGCAAUAACAGGUCUGUGAUGCCCUUCGAUGUUCAGGGCCGCACGCGCGCUACAAUGAUAACGACAACGAGCGCCUGGACUGAAAAGUUCUGGGAAAUCUUUUGAAUCGUUAUCGUGAUGGGGAUUGAGCAUUGUAAUUCUUGCUCAUGAAAUAGGAAUCCCUUGUAUACGUGUCUCACUUAGGACACGUAGAAUGCGUCUCUGCCCUUUGUACACACCGCCCGUCGCUACUACCGAGUGAAUGGUGUCAUGAUGUCUUGGGACUGGACGUUGUUGGCAGCGAAAGCCGCGGACGACGCUAGGAGCAAGCCAA